rnacentral:rRNA from 1 species
UACGGAGGGAGCUAGCGUUGUUCGGAAUCACUGGGCGUAAAGGGUGCGUAGGCGGGUUUUUAAGUCAGAGGUGAAAUCCUGGAGCUCAACUCCAGAACUGCCUUUGAUACUGAAAGUCUUGAGUAUGGGAGAGGUGAGUGGAACUGCGAGUGUAGAGGUGAAAUUCGUAGAUAUUCGCAAGAACACCAGUGGCGAAGGCGGCUCACUGGCCCAUAACUGACGCUGAGGCACGAAAGCGUGGGGAGCAAACAGG